GGAAAGAAAGAAGGAAAGAAGGAAAGAAAGUAAGAAACAUCUGAAACUGGACUAAUGUUUUAAAAAUUAUGACCCAAAUCUAUCAAAAAUAGAAAAAACAGAGGAUGGUCUAUUUAAUUUCUUGAUCAGUGCUACUUUUUCAACAUAAAUUUCUGGUCUACUGUUAAAUUCUUACCUUUCCCCUCAAGACUUUUUCUUCAGCAAAACUUUGCAUGGUAAUUUUUAAAUUGCUCUGGAUUGUGUGAUUGCACUUGCAACCACUUUUCAAAAUAGUCAUUGUAAGACAUAGUAUUAACACAGAAAAAAAAAACAUUCACCCCCAUACUUGAUCCCAUGAGGAAUACUUAAUUAAUGAAAACAAAAUGCGAUUUACUAACAUCGUAAGUUCAGCAGACAGAAAUGAUGUCAUUUUUCCUGUUUGGUUGUGAUCUGUUGACCUGAGAGUUCCAAGGGCGCUGGCCAAUGCUUGUUUACGUAGCAGAGCAAAAGCAACAACUGGAAAUGGGAUCACAACUAUGAAAUAACAGUUUACAGCAAGGGUAGGGAACUCCUGUGUGCUUGUGGGACAUUAUUUGAGGCAAGAACAUGAUCAAGUGAAAGAAGUAAACAGCCAGCUCUUCAUUAUAUGAGAAAGUAGAGUUGCGCUGUUAGGAAUAAUGGAAACAAAUUGUUUCUCCAGGGAGGAUCCAGCUUGGCCCACCAGCUGAAUGCCCUUGGUGCUCAGGGUGCACUUGCUCCCACCACCUCUUUUUGGGAGUGUUACACCAAGCUCCCCUUUGCCUUGAAAGGGCUACCUGGAGUAUCUCCUUCCACCUUGCUGCUACUGAGGCUGGCACACAAACCAAAGGCAGGUUCUGGAACCCAGGAUCAUAAUCUUCUGCCCCUCCCUCUUGCCCAUGACACUAAACACACCUUUUCAAUAACUAAUAGGAGCUUGCUUGUUCUGAGCUGCUCUAUGGAAGAUCUUCAGGUUAUUCAGUCAUAUGCCUCAGGGAAGUGGUGAGUUCACUUUCAAUAAUGGCAAGAGUUUCUGGAAAAGUCAGUCAAUGUAGAUGAUGGCAAUCGGAGACAAACAGGAGAACAAAUGAAAUGACUGUGUUCAGAUGCUCAGAGAGGUGACUGAAGUGGGAAACAAUGUUCUGAUUGCUGCUGCUGUUGAUAAACCAGGUUUGAAGGACUUUCUGCAGAAAUGGAAUGAAAUCCAUAAAAACAGAUAAAGUAACCGCUUAAAGACACGAUGAGACCACUACUCCACUACUUUCCAUAAUUAAAUUGUUAUAAUUAAAGCAUAUUUUUUUGUUUGUGGGUUUUUUUUUAGACAUAUGAUGCAGAUUAUUCUUUUACAGUGACUUGUCUUCCUAAUUAAUUACUACCCUAUCAAAUAUUAUGUCUUCUAUGGAGCCCAGAAGAGAUAAUUUAUCCCUGUUUAUGUCACUGACAAAAAAGAAUGCACAGGAUCAAAAAAUAAUUUCUGAGAAAUUCUGUAGGAAGCAGACCUACUCAUCACAUGAACUGUUUUUUGAGACUUCUUAGCCAGUUUUUUUGUCUCUGAAACAUAUGCUCUGCUAGUGCCAUUUCAUGCAAAUGUUUUCUAAACUAAACGUGCAGGUAAUAAUUCAAAUGAGUCAGAAAAAUCCAAGAAUAUAAUGUCAACAUAGUUACAUUUUCCUAUGUAGGUUUAUGACAUUUCAAGAAAAAAAAUAACAAGAUUAAUUGAUCAGAUAGACCUUCUACAAACAAGCAUACUAACCGUCCUCACUUAUAACCUUUAAUUCUCUGUUAAAGCUCAACUUACCAUUUUCUAAUUCCAUGUAGAAUCAACCUGCAGCUAAUAAAUGUCUAUUAUGCUUUUAAAAAAAAACUGGAAGAACAUCAGUGAUUUCUUAGACUGUUGAAGUUUUCUUGAAUUUGUUUAAAGAUGAUAAGUAGUUUGUAGUGAUUCUUACUCUCUUUGUUUAAAAUUUUUGUUGAAGUACGAACAUUCUAUUCCAU